rnacentral:rRNA from 1 species
UUCCGGUUGAUCCUGCCGGACCUGACUGCUAUCGGGUUGAGAAUUAGCCAUGCGAGUCUAACGCUCCAGCCAUGGGGGGCGUGGCAUACGGCUCAGUAACAUGUGGUCAACCUACCCCACGGACGAUGAUAACCUCGGGAAACUGAGGCUAAUAAUUGGCGGGGAAGGAGAUCUGGAACGACUCCUUCCUGAAAGGCUGGGGAAUCCAUGCUUUCCCCGGCGCAGUGGGAUGGGACUGCAUCCGAUCAGGUAGAUGGUGGGGUAACGGCUCACCAUGCCUAUAACCGGUGCGGGCCCUGAGAGGGGGAGCCCGGAGAUGGAUCCUGAGACAAGGGUCCAGGCCCUAAGGGGCGCAGCAGGCGCGAAACCUCCGCUAUGCGCGAAAGCGCGACGGGGUUAGCCCGAGUGUCGGCCGCUGAGGUCGACUUUUCCCCGGUCCAAAAGGCCGGGGGAAUAAGGGGAGGGCAAGAUUGGUGUCAGCCGCCGCGGUAAUACCAACUCCCCGAGUGGUCAGGAUGAUUAUUGGGCUUAAAGCGCCCGUAGCCGGCUCGAUGAGUCCCUCGUUAAAUCCGACGUCCCAAGCGUCGGGCUGCGGGGGAUACCACCGGGCUUGGGAGCGGGAGAGGCCGGCGGUACUCUUUGGGGAGGGGUAAAAUCCUCGGAUCCAAGGAAGACCAUCAGUGGCGAAGGCGGCCGGCCGGAACGCGUUCGACGGUGAGGGGCGAAAGCUGGGGGAGCGAUCCGGAUUAGAUACCCGGGUAGUCCUAGCUGUAAACGAUGCGGGCUAGGUGUGUGGAUGGCUACGAGCCGUCCAUGUGCCGAAGAGAAAUCGUUAAGCCCGCCGCCUGGGAAGUACGGUCGCAAGGCUGAAACUUAAAGGAAUUGGCGGGGGAGCAC